GACAGAGGUGCCGAGCGUUAGGCGGAAUCACUGGGCUUAAAGCGUGUGUAGGCGGACUUCUAAGUACCUUGUGAAAUCCCAUGGCUCAACCAUGGAACUGCUUGGUAUACUGGUUGUCUUGAGCCACUUAGGGGCAGUCGGAACAGAUGGUGGAGCGGUGAAAUGCGUAGAUAUCAUUUGGAACGCCAAUGGUGAAAACAGGUAGCUGGGGCUGUGCUGACACUGAGACACGAAAGCCAGGGGAGGCAAACGGG
rnacentral:rRNA from 1 species